GUAGUGACGAAAAAUANCGAUGCAGAACUCANUCCGAGGCUCUGCAAUCGGAAUGGGUACACUCUAAAUCAUUUAACGAGUAUCAAUUGGAGGACAAGUCUGGUGCCAGCACCCGCGGUAAUUCCAGCUCCAAUAGCGUAUAUUAAAGUUGUUGCGGUUAAAAAGCUCGUAGUUGGAUCUGUGUUCUAAGCUGUCGGUUCACCGUUUUGAUGGUGUUUAACUGACAUGUCUUUGAACGUCCUGCCGGUUGGUAACGUGUCUUCUCCUUCACGGGAGGGAUGCGUUUGCCAGUUCAAAUCCUGUCUUGAUUCUCUUCAUUGAGUGUUGAGGCGGGCCGGCACGUUUACCUUGAACAAAUUUGAGUGCUUAAAGCAGGCUUCAAUUGCCGGAAAACUGUGUGCAUGGAAUAAUAUAAUAGGACCGCGGUUCUAUUUUGUUGGUUUUCAGAAUCCGAGGUAAUGAUUAAUAGGGACUGGCGGGGGCAUUAGUAUUGCGACGUUAGAGGUGAAAUUCUUGGAUCGUCGCAAGACUAACCUAAGCGAAAGCAUUUGCCAAGGAUGCUUCCAUUAAUCAAGAACGAAAGUUAGAGGUUCGAAGGCGAUCAGAUACCGCCCUAGUUCUANCCAUAAACGAUGCCAGCCAGCGAUCCGUCGACGUUCUUUUAUGACUCGACGGGCAGCUUCCGGUAAACUAAAGCAUUUGGGUUCCGGGGGAAGUAUGGUUGCAAAGCUGAAACUUAAAGGAAUUGACGGAAAGGCACCACCAGGAGUGGAGCCUGCGGCUUAAUUUGACUCAACACGGGAAAUCUCACCAGGCCAGNACNCCAGGUGGAUUGACAGANNGAGAGCUCNUU
rnacentral:rRNA from 1 species